AACUUGAGAGUUUGAUCCUGGCUCAGAACGAACGCUGGCGGCAUGCCUAACACAUGCAAGUCGAACGGGGGGUCCUUCUGGACCCAGGGAUCAGUAAUCAGUAAUCAGUGAUCAGAUGGCUCAGCCGAAGGCUACGCUUCUGAUACCUGACCUCUGAUACCUGAUCCCUGGGCCCUGAUGGGCCCCUAGUGGCGGACGGGUGAGUAACGCGUGGGAACCUGCCUUUGGGUACGGAAUAACUGUGGGAAACUGCGGCUAAUACCGUAUGACGCCGAGAGGCCAAAGAUUUAUCGCCCAUUGAGGGGCCCGCGUCGGAUUAGCUAGUUGGUGGGGUAAUGGCCUACCAAGGCGACGAUCUGUAGCUGGUUUGAGAGGAUGAUCAGCCACACUGGGACUGAGACACGGCCCAGACUCCUACGGGAGGCAGCAGUGGGGAAUAUUGGACAAUGGGCGCAAGCCUGAUCCAG
rnacentral:rRNA from 1 species